rnacentral:lncRNA from 1 species
CUUUGGCAACCAAUGCCUAAAGAUUUAAAAGCUUUUAAAGGUGCCAAAAUAUAUUACCCUCGUAUAAGGCUGAUAUUUUCGUUUACAUGGAGAGUUUCGUGAUUUCAAUUUCCCGCGAAUGGGCCCAAGUCUAUCCAUCUUUUAAAUUCUGUAGUACUUGACAGACGUAAAGAAUUAAAUGCACGGUAAGAAUGUGUAUUUAUAAAACAUUUUGCAUAAUCAAUUUGCUUUUUAUUUAUUAACCGAGA